GAUCCUGGCUCAGGAUGAACGCUGGCGGCGUGCCUAACACAUGCAAGUCGAGCGAAGCGAUUUAGCGGAAGUUUUCGGAUGGAAGUUAAAUUGACUGAGCGGCGGACGGGUGAGUAACGCGUGGGUAACCUGCCUCAUACAGGGGGAUAACAGUUAGAAAUGACUGCUAAUACCGCAUAAGCGCACAGCAUCGCAUGAUGCCGUGUGAAAAACUCCGGUGGUAUGAGAUGGACCCG
rnacentral:rRNA from 1 species